ensembl:lncRNA
AGUGUUUGCAUUAUGGUAUUUUUCUGUAUUGAGUUUUGAGUUGUAACUAUACAGUUAAAAUAUGUAGGAAUGCAGUUUUGCUUACUCUGCUUGACAGAAGUCUAGUCUUUCCUGUGUCUUUGAAUACUUUCUAUAGGCCAGAAAAUAGAAUAUAAAUUAAAAAUUAUUUUAAUGUGUUCCUCUAAUGGACACGGACCUUGAAAGUAUGCAAUCUCUUUGAAAAAGGGGGUAAAGGAGAAAGAAGCUUUUGCCUUGCUGUACAUAAUCCUUUCAACUAGGGGUUGAACCUCACCAUUUUUUUUUUUUGCUCUCAGCCUAUCAUCAAUAAACACUGAUACUGUAUAAUUUUAAUACAACUGAUGCACUUUUGAAUGUCUUGAGUUACAUCAAUAUUACAACCCAUAAAUCAUUUUAGAAUAUUUGAUGCCAUUUUUGAAAUCCUGUUCAUUAAAUUAUUGAGGCAAAAUUUGUGUGCUUUCUCUGGGGUUUUUGAUCCAUUAUCUGUGUUGCUGGUUCUGAUACUUUCUGUAAGAAAAAGAAAUAUUUGAAUUGCAUGCAUGUGCAUAAUCUGGAACUUAAUGUUUUAAGUAAUACUUUUAUAAUUUUGCUGUACUGGGAAGGAUUUUGUUUUAGUGCAGUUCCUCUGCAGGAAUCCUUGUAUCAACUGAAACUUGCAGAUAGAACUCUUAAGGUUGGGUCCAAUAACAGUGUAGGUUUGGAAGGUGAUUUGCACAGCAGUAUGGCCAUUCCUCCUUCACACGUCCAUAUGGUCUUUCUAGAAACUAAUUAUAUAGAGAGUUGUAAUUCAGGGGACCUUUCCUUCCAGUAAAAGAGUAAAAUAUGUAAUGAGUAGGACGCUUGUUCUCUGUCAUGCCUCAUGAUAAUUUUUGUACAUUUCUUAAAGGAAACUUAGUCUUCUUUCGGGGAAGUCUUUUAAUCCAGAAGACUUCAGGAAAGAAAGAGUUAGUAUAAGGAGUUUGGUUUUGGUUGUUUUUUUAAAGGAGAGUUUAGAGGAACUCUUUCCUUGGGAGGAGUUAACUUUUUUUCUGUUUUCUCUGAGUUGUGUGGGUAUCACACUGAGAGUUAUUACAGUUGCUGGAGUUGACACUCAUAUUAGCUGUUGCAUAUUUAUGYAUGUUAAGGGGGGAGAUGAGCAGUCAUUCAUAUUGAAUCAGUUAUAUUUAAAUCUAAGAUGGAUGUUUUUAUUAACAAUAAUAUUCCCCAUAUAAAGUAUAUACUUAGUGGCAGCCAAAUCUGCAGUUCAGUGAAUGUUUGCAAAAGAGCAAGGAGUAGAGAAAAGCAGCAGCAAUACAUUUUCAUCUCUUGGAAAACUCAUUACACAAGUCAUAUCCAGUGCGCUCAGAAAUCAGCUUUGGUAGUAACCACUCUAAAGCAGUAUCUCCCUUUUUAAUGGGCAUAAUUUGUUGGUAUAAUAUAAAUAAGAUUUGAAAAUGUAAGUGUCCCUGGAGUUCUUGGGUCAGAUAUAAAUUCUUUUAUAAAUCGGAAUGUUAUGUUUGGAGUUAUUCCAUUUAGAACCUCCAAAUUUAUUAGACAAAAAAUUUAGGAAGCUUAGAAGAGCUCCAGUGGAAAAUUAUGCUCUCCUAGUAGGUAAGGCACUUUAAAUGAUUCAGACUUUGCAUUAUUGUAGUAAAUAUUCAGAAGGCUAUUUUUUUUUGUUUAAUAAAGUUAAUACUGCUUAAUGUGCUUACA